GACGGGGGGGGCAAGUGUUCUUCGGAAUGACUGGGCGUAAAGGGCACGUAGGCGGUGAAUCGGGUUGAAAGUGAAAGUCGCCAAAAAGUGGCGGAAUGCUCUCGAAACCAAUUCACUUGAGUGAGACAGAGGAGAGUGGAAUUUCGUGUGUAGCGGUGAAAUGUGUAGAGAUCGGGAGGAACACCGGUGGCGAAGGCGGUCUUCUGGACGGUGACUGACGCUGAGGCGCGAAAGCGUGGGGAGCAAACGGG
rnacentral:rRNA from 1 species